CAGUUAAAUUUGAAUUUCAGACAAACAAUAAACAAUUUUUAGUAUAAGUAUGUUCCAUGCAAUACUUGGCACAUACUUAUACUAAAAAAAAAAUUCCUUAUCUGAAAUUCAAAUCCAACU
rnacentral:miRNA from 1 species